rnacentral:rRNA from 1 species
AGAGUUUGAUCCUGGCUCAGAGCGAACGCUGGCGGCAGGCCUAACACAUGCAAGUCGAGCGCCCCGCAAGGGGAGCGGCAGACGGGAGAGUAACACGUGGGAACGUGCCCUUCAGUUCGGAACAACCCAGGGAAACUUGGGCUAAUACCGGAUACGUCCGUAAGGAGAAAGAUUUAUCGCUGAAGGAUCGGCCCGCGUCUGAUUAGCUAGUUGGUGGGGUAACGGCUCACCAAGGCGACGAUCAGUAGCUGGUCUGAGAGGAUGAUCAGCCUCACUGGGACUGAGACACGGCCCAGACUCCUACGGGAGGCAGCAGUGGGGAAUAUUGGACAAUGGGCGCAAGCCUGAUCCAGCCAUGCCGCGUGGAUGAUGAAGGCCCUAGGGUUGUAAAGUCCUUUCGGCGGGGAAGAUAAUGACGGUACCCGCAGAAGAAGCCCCGGCUAACUUCGUGCCAGCAGCCGCGGUAAUACGAAGGGGGCUAGCGUUGCUCGGAAUCACUGGGCGUAAAGCGCACGUAGGCGGCUUUUUAAGUCAGGGGUGAAAUCCUGGAGCUCAACUCCAGAACUGCCUUUGAUACUGAGAAGCUUGAGUCCGGGAGAGGUGAGUGGAACUGCGAGUGUAGAGGUGAAAUUCGUAGAUAUUCGCAAGAACACCAGUGGCGAAGGCGGCUCACUGGCCCGGUACUGACGCUGAGAUGCGAAAGCGUGGGGAGCAAACAGGAUUAGAUACCCCCGUAGUCC